CCAGAAGCCACAAUUAAAGAGGAUUACUAGAGCUCUCAUUUGAUUAUGCUGGGGGGCUUAUAGAGCCAUUUAUGAAGCAGGCUAUUUUGGAAAAUUACAGGAAUUCGCCUAUCUUGCCCCUAGUAUCCAUAAAACCAAUCUUAGUGGUUUUAAAAAUAUUCUAGUUUAUGCCUGUUUCGGCGUGAUUUCCGAGGGGGAAGAAUCACAUGAAAUGCAGGAAGACACCAUCUUCAAAACUCAUAACUUGUCAAUCAUGAGCAAACGGCGUAAGAGGGAAGACCGGGUUUGCCGGCCUUCGACCCUCCGAUGCCUAAGUCAGCCAUAUGAGAAUAGAGAUAAGGUGUGAAUAGGGUGAAAAUAGAGGCUUACCCAAAUGAGGGGUGAAAACUUGUAUUUAUAGAGAUAGGGUGAUUGCACCCUAAAAGUACCAUUUUGCCCUUACUGGAGAGUGUAUUACUAUUGUGCCCUCAAGGAAGAGUGUAGGUUUCUUGGGCCUAGUUGGGCCUAGUUAAGGCCCAAGCUCGUUUUAUGUGGCAAUAUGUGCAGGGACGGAAGCACAGCAAAGGCUGUAUGGGCUACAGCCCAACCGAAAAUUGGUCCAAAAAACCCUUAGUAUAUAUAUAUCACAGCCCAGCCCAAUAAAAAAAAAAAAAAUUAAUACCCUCACUAACCUCUCUCAGUUUGCAUCGUCUCCUCCACAACUCUUCUCUCUUCUUCUUCACCUCCUCUCUGCUUCCACCCCUCUCAAUCUCUGCUCCACAACUUUUCUCCUCUCCGAUUUCAUAGACAAUUCCAUUCUUCACCUCCUCUCUGACCCGCGCCGUCUCCGACGUCUCCCAGAUCCGCUCCGUGCCUCCGUCCUCAACGCCCUCGGCCCUGCCCCGACCACGAGGCCGUCGACACCUCCAAGGCCAAGCUCGCCGCCAUCUUCUUCCCGGAUUCGUCAGCAGACAGCAGGUACGUCUGAAGCAAUCGUCUAUUUCUUCCUUUCUCUCUUUGAUAAUCAAUUUUUCUCUAUUCGAUCCAUAUUCAAUCAUCUGAAGCAAAAAAAACAAAUAGAUUGAUCAGUUUGAUUGUGGUGAAUUGUUCCCUGUCGUAUGCUUGUUUAUCAAAACAAACAUUGGAAUACUAACUGUUUGGUUAAUUAGUUCCUAAUAUGUUGAUUCUGACUAAAUGUUACUGAUAUCAAUGUUAACUAAGGCAUGCAAGUCUGUUCAUACACUUAUAUUUAUAAAUUUGUUUGUGGUGAAUUGUUGGUUGAUUCUAUUUUUUCGCUUUUAGAUAUGGAUGGAAGAAAUCUGUUGUUAAUCUUGUUGUUGCAUUGGAACUGUGGCAUUUAGAGAAUGUGUCUGCUUGUACAAUCCUUGUGUUAUUGAUGUUGAAAUUGAGGCAAAUACGAGAUCACCGAAUUGCUUUAGAUAAUCCUUGUUAUUGAUGUUUCUCAUUUGUAACUUGCUAUGGUUGUUACUUCAUUGCCUGUAUGAUCCAGCCACCAUAAUUCUGUCAUAUGUGGCGUUUAGUCACUUUAGUGCUUGAAAAUAUGCAUCUUACCAAGUGGUCCUUUUGAUGGCCAAAUAAACCCUAAAUCCUUCCCUGGGUUGAACUUCCUAUCUCUGUGCCAAUACCAGCUCCAGCAUUAACCCAAGUAAUUAUAUCUCUCUGAGAAGUAACUGCAAAUUUGUGUCAAAUGACAGCAGAAUGCAGCAGCACACUGUUUUUGUUAAGUGAGAGAAAAUUAGGUUUCAUAUAUUCUCUCCUUAACAAAGGUUUGAUAUACAUACUAAUAAUAGUGUGAUUGACUGCAGUGACAUAUUUAUAUUUUGUAAUGGUGUGCCAUACUUAAACGUUGUGUAUGUGGAACUAGGAGGUGCUGAUCUGCUGCAAACAAAGUUUACUUGAGUUAUGAUGAUCUGCUGCUGAACCUUCAGGACAUGAACUUGGAGGUGCUGAUUUGCUGCUACAAACAAAGGUUUUCUUUCACAGGUUUCCUUUCUCUCUUUUGGAUUCUGCAUAUUUCUUUCACAUGUUUCUUUUAGUUGUUAAGGGCAUAUCCAUAUUUGAAGUUAGUGGAACCCGGAGUAAAACCCGACGGAUACGAUUUAGAUAGUUAUAUGUUAUUGUUUGUUAUUUUCUUACAAUCAUUUUCGUUGUAGUUUUUAAUUUAUGAGGUUUUGGUUUUAUGUCCCCCUCAUAUGUUUUUAAUAUAAAGGCGUGAGGAUGAGCCUCCCACUGGGUUCCAAACCUCAAAAAAUAUUUUGUAAGUGUGCUGUCUGAAAAUUAACCCAACCCAUUUUCGAUUCCUGGUUCCGUCCCUGCAUACAGCCUUUGCUGUGCUUCCGUCCCUGCCUGUACUUGCUGUUUUGCUGAACUUGUGUGUCGGGAUCCAGGGGUCUGGGAGUUUUGCUGUCCCGAAAGGGUUCCGAGUUCCAGGUACUAUGACUCUUCCCUUUUUUGGCGUCGUUGAUGUGCCGGGAACCAAGAAAGGGGGGUGCCGAGAAGAUGAGUCCUGACACCAAGGGACGAGCUGUGCCGGAGCCGGGAGGGCUUGGGAUUGGUAUCGAGACCAGAGACCCCGAGAGUAGAAGGGGCGGCGGGCGGCGUGAGCCCGGGAGGCCGGGGAGGGGAUGCUGGGAGUUGGGUUCCGGGUCCCCGGGAGAGAGGUGCCGGGAUAAGCAAACUCGCCGGGAAGGAGGGGACCGGAAAAGUAGCCUCGCGGAGAGAGAGAAAGGCUUUGGGUGCCCAGAGUAAUUCUGAGUUUGGUAAUGCCGGCGCGUGGGUCAUUGCCGGAGGUUGCGGUGGGUGUCGGGAGAGGUGUUGGGUCUAAACCUGCAAACAGGUACCGGUACAGGGAGGAGGGAUGUCGUGAACCCGGGAUGCACUUUCGAGUUGGUUGGGGAGUGCUCAAUCUUGGGAGGGAGAGGUUUUGGUCUCGGGUUGCCGGGAGAUGGGUGCCGGGAGUGGGUCUAGGCCUGGCAUCGCCGCCGGGAUGGGAAGAUGGUCGCUGAAACAAGUGGUGCCGAGGGCAGUUGUUGACUGCGAAGGCAAGUCCUUAGGGAGGUGUCGGGUUCCGGUGGCGGGGACCCGGGAAGGAGAGAUGGCGGGUCGCUGCCGCGACUCCGGAAGGGAGGAGUUGCCGCUGGGUCACUUGGUGCUAUUCGCUGAACCCGAGAGGUGGGCAAUAGGUGCUGACACCGAGAGAGGAACUUAGACACAGGCCAUGAUGUGUCGGGUGCCGUGAGAGAGCCGAGAAAAAGUUGCAAGUGUUGGGUUGAUUAGUAGUGCCGGGUUGCUAUAGCAGGAGCCGAAAAAAGGUUGGCAGGGAAGAUACUGCCAAGUUUCGGGUGCCAAGAGGGAGAGAGCCCAACAGCGAAAUCCAUGGGUGCCUAAAGUAAUUCUGGGUUUGGUCAUGUCGGCGCGUGGGUUGUAACCAGAGGUAGGAGAGGUCGCCGGACCUCGUGGAGGCUUGGUUUGACUCACCAAACCCUGGCGAGUCCGAUGGUGUUGGAGGUGAGCUGCCUUGUGGUAGUGGAGGCCAACCAUGGAGGAGAGAGAAAAUGUCAGAUCUAUUUUCUCUCUCCUCAAAACCCUCUGUAAUUGAAACCCAGAAGUUUUGGAAAGCUUGAUUGUCAUGCAAGUGAGAUGUAAUAUUGUAGACGAGCUCCUUGUGUUUGUGGGGAGAGGGAGCUGAGAGGGGAGAGAGAAACAGUGUCGCUGUAAAAGAAAAAAAAAUUCCAGAAAAAAGGAAUUCCGGCCAGAUGAUGAAUAUGCUCAUGGUGAGCUAAGUGAGGGUUUCCACUUGAGGUGCCCUCUUUCUAACGCCAAUUGUUUCGGUGUGAUUUCCGAGGGGGAAUAAUCACAAAAGACACCAUCUUCAAGACCUAUACCUGUCAAUCAUGAGCAAACGACGUAAGAGGGAAGACCGGGUUUGCCGGCUUUCGACCCUCCGAUGCCUAAGUCAGCCACAUGAGAAUAGAGAUAAGGUGUGAAUAUGGUGAAAAUGGAGGCUUACCCAAAUGAGGGGUGGAAAUAUGUAUUUAUAGAGAUAGGGUGAUUGCAUCCUAAAAGUACCAUUUUGCCUUUACUGGAGAGUGUAUUACUAUUGUGCUCUCAAGGAAGAGUGUAG
rnacentral:lncRNA from 1 species